rnacentral:misc_RNA from 1 species
GAGCACACACACAAAUACAGACCUGUAGCCCUCAUCACAACGUCAUCAGCGCACAACGCACCAAUCUUCUUGUCUGCGCCGUUCGCCCCACUUCCUCCUCUCCCCUCUUGUCUCCGGUUUCCUCCAGCACAGUAAAGUCAAGAGCAUCAGCACGCAGGCAUGGUCAAAGUGGGCAUCAACGGCUUCGGACGCAUCGGCCGCGUCGUCUUUCGGGUGGCGCAGACGCGCCCCGACAUUGAGAUUGUCGGCAUUAACGACCUGCUGGAUGCCGAGUAUAUGGCCUACAGUCUCAAGUACGACUCCACGCAUGGCCGCUUUAAUGGCACGGUGCAGGUGAAAGACGGGGCACUUGUUGUGAAUGGCAAAACCAUCCGCGUCACGAGCGAGCGCGACCCGGCGAACCUCAAGUGGGGCGAGAUUGGUGUGGAGGUGGUGGUGGAGUCCACCGGCUUAUUCCUCACGCACGAGACGGCUCACAAGCACAUUGAAGCAGGAGCAAAGCGCGUCGUCAUGACGGGGCCGCCGAAAGAUGACACGCCGAUGUUCGUGAUGGGUGUGAACCACACAACGUACAACGGGCAGCCCAUUAUAUCGAAUGCGUCGUGUACGACGAACUGCCUCGCCCCGCUGGCAAAGGUGGUGAACGAGAAGUACGGCAUUGCCGAGGGUCUCAUGACAACCGUGCACGCGACGACGGCAACGCAGAAGACGGUGGAUGGUCCCUCCCUAAAAGACUGGCGCGGUGGACGCGGCGCGUCGCAGAACAUCAUCCCCUCCUCCACCGGCGCCGCUAAGGCUGUGGGCAAGGUGUACCCGGCGCUGAACGGCAAGCUGACUGGUAUGGCCUUCCGCGUCCCGACGCCGAACGUGUCGGUGGUCGACCUCACCGUGCGUCUGGAGAAGCCAGCAACGUACAAGGAUAUCUGUGCUGCAAUCAAGGCGGCAGCCGAGGGCGAGAUGAAGAGCAUUCUCGGCUACACCGACGACGAGGUCGUGUCUUCGGACUUCAACGGUGUGGCGCUGACGUCUGUCUUUGACGCCAAAGCCGGCAUCUCGCUGAACGAGCACUUCGUCAAGCUCGUCUCAUGGUACGACAACGAAACGGGUUACUCGCACAAGGUACUCGAUCUCGUUCUCUACACGUCCGCGCGCUGAGAAGUCGCUAUCGCUUCUCAGCAGGCCAAAGAGGCCGUGGAAAGGGCGGCGGAAGAUAGGAUCAAGUCGCCCGCAUCUCCGAGCGUUCAUGUGAGGGAGAAAACAGCGAGUGCCGCGAUGCACACGAUGCAAGACACUACGCAUUCACGCACAAGCCAAGCUCGCGACCGUCAGUGCCGUCGGAUGGCACAAUAUUAAACGCCACAGCAGAGAUUCGUGUCUGUGCGUCCUCUCUCUCGUCGACUAGCCCAUCCACACCCGUAGGCCAGCCUCUCGCCUUGGUGACGCCAGCGAGGCCAAGACGUCACAGCCCGGCAGAGGGCAGUCUACUUAUUCAACAAGCGCGUACUCAAGCCCCGACAGAGAAUUCGCCGCUUGAGACACGCAACUUCCGCUGGGGCACACUCCGCCAAGUGUGUUUCGAACGCUUUUCAAUAUCAAAAGGAGGCGCGUGAGGCAACGCACACGCCGCACAAGGGGAGCAUCGACCGCCUCCCCAGCGCCCUGCAUGCGGCACCCUCGUACGCCACUUGCCCUUUCCCCGCUUUUGUGUGGUGGUGUCUCUUCCUCGUCGUUGCAUAUCGAUGUAGCUGUCCCUUCAUUAUUUGCUUCUUUUUGGUUUCUUUCCUGUUUAGCCGCAAACAUUCGUUGCGGUUGCGAUCUGAUGUUCACAAGCCCCUCUCCUUGAUUCUGCCCGACACAAAUGCGUCACUACCCACGCGCACUCCGCAUUACUGCCGUGUUAACUCCGUCUCUUCCACGUUCCAUCCUUUAAGUUUACGCACACCCUAUACACCCAC